rnacentral:rRNA from 1 species
ACGGGUGAGUAACACGUAGGUAAUCUACCUUCGGGUGGGGAAUAACCCAGGGAAACUUGGGCUAAUACCGCAUAAUGCAGCGGCACCACAUGGUGACAGUUGUUAAAGCGGGGGAUCUUCGGAUCUCGCGCCUGAAGAGGAGCCUGCGGCAGAUUAGCUAGUUGGUAGGGUAACGGCUUACCAAGGCGACGAUCUGUAGCCGGCCUGAGAGGGCGGUCGGCCACACUGACACUGACAUACGGGUCAGACUCCUACGGGAGGCAGCAGUCGGGAAUUUUGGGCAAUGGGCGAAAGCCUGACCCAGCAACGCCGCGUGAAGGAUGAAAUCCCUCGGGAUGUAAACUUCGCAAGAAUGGGAAGAAUUAGUAGGGGUUAAUACCCCCUAUGAUGACGGUACCAUUUGUAAGCUCCGGCUAACUCCGUGCCAGCAGCCGCGGUAAUACGGGGGGAGCAAGCGUUGUUCGGAUUUACUGGGCGUAAAGGGCGCGUAGGCGGUCAGCACAAGUCAGUUGUGAAAUCUCCGGGCUUAACUCGGAAAGGUCAACUGAUACUGUGCGACUAGAGUGCAGAAGGGGCAACUGGA